rnacentral:rRNA from 1 species
UUUUUAUUGAUUUACAAUAAAUAUCUCCUGCUCAAUGAGCUAAAUAGCCGUAGAAUUUUAACUAUGCUAAGGUAGCAUAAUAAAUUGCCUUUUAAUUUAAGGAUAGAAUGAAUGGAUAAACGAAUGAUAUUCACUUCUUAUUAUUUAUUUUUAAUUUAUUACUUGCGUUAAAACCCUCAUAAUAAAAAGAAAGACGAUAAGACCCUAUUGAACUUUACAAACGUUAAACUGGGGCGGUUAAUUAAAAAAAAUCUUAAUUUAAUUAAAUCUAUUUAACACUAAAUUAAUUUAAAACAAGUUACCAUAGGGAUACAGCGUAAUAGUUUUCCAAAGCUCUUAUACAAAAAACUAUUUGCGACCUCGAUGUUGAAUAACCUUCUUUUAAAAGUAAAAAUUUAAAAAGUAAGACUGUUCGUCUUUUAAGUAAUUACA